CUCCUAGUACGAGAGGACCGGAGUGGACGAACCGCUGGUGUUCGGGUUGUGUCGCCAGACGCAUUGCCCGGUAGCUAAGUUCGGCACAGAUAAGCGCUGAAAGCAUCUAAGCGCGAAGCUGGCCCCGAGAUGAGUCAUCCCUAGAGCUUCGAGCUCUCUAAAGGGUUGUYSUAGACUASRACGUUGAUAGGCAGGGUGUGUAAGCGCUGUGAGGCGUUGAGCUAACCUGUACUAAUUGCCCGUGCGGCUUAACCAUACAACACCCAAG
rnacentral:rRNA from 1 species